rnacentral:rRNA from 1 species
UGGGGAAUUUUGGACAAUGGGCGCAAGCCUGAUCCAGCCAUGCCGCGUGCGGGAAGAAGGCCUUCGGGUUGUAAACCGCUUUUGUCGGGGAAGAAAUCUCUCGGGCUAAUACCUCGGGGGGAUGACGGUACCCGAAGAAUAAGCACCGGCUAACUACGUGCCAGCAGCCGCGGUAAUACGUAGGGUGCGAGCGUUAAUCGGAAUUACUGGGCGUAAAGCGUGCGCAGGCGGUCGUGCAAGACAGAUGUGAAAUCCCCGGGCUCAACCUGGGAACUGCAUUUGGGACUGCACGGCUGGAGUACGGCAGAGGGGGAUGGAAUUCCGCGUGUAGCAGUGAAAUGCGUAGAUAUGCGGAGGAACACCGAUGGCGAAGGCAGUCCCCUGGGCCUGUACUGACGCUCAUGCACGAAAGCGUGGGGAGCAAAC